AUGAACGCUGGCGGCGUGCCUAAUACAUGCCAGUCGAGCGAACAGAUAAGGAGCUUGCUCCUUUGACGUUAGCGGCGGACGGGUGAGUAACACGUGGGUAACCUACCUAUAAGACUGGGAUAACUUCGGGAAACCGGAGCUAAUACCGGAUAACAUUUGGAACCGCAUGGUUCUAAAGUGAAAGAUGGUUUUGCUAUCACUUAUAGAUGGACCCGCGCCGUAUUAGCUAGUUGGUAAGGUAACGGCUUACCAAGGCAACGAUACGUAGCCGACCUGAGAGGGUGAUCGGCCACACUGGAACUGAGACACGGUCCAGACUCCUACGGGAGGCAGCAGUAGGGAAUCUUCCGCAAUGGGCGAAAGCCUGACGGAGCAACGCCGCGUGAGUGAUGAAGGGGUUCGGCUCGUAAAACUCUGUUAUUAGGGAAGAACAAAUGUGUAAGUAACUGUGCACGUCUUGACGGUACCUAAUCAGAAAGCCACGGCUAACUACGUG
rnacentral:rRNA from 1 species